rnacentral:lncRNA from 1 species
UUCUUCCCCUCCCGGCCACACAGGUUUUUUUAGUUUUACAUUAUUCCCCCAAUUUUGUUCUUUUUUUUUCAAAAUAAAAAUAAAUAAAUAACACAAUAUUUGAACUAAAAUUUUAAUCUGAAAUAGUAACAGAGGGCAUCAAUGAGCUUCGAACUUGCACCUACGAAUGCAAAGGCGACGCUGACAACGACAAUGACACUGCCAAAGCAGUGAAUCCUUUUAUCGUUAUCCUCAUUUUUUUUUAGAAGCGCUAAUCAAAUUUUUUUAUUUUACAAUUUAUGAACUAUUAUAUCAGAAAAUUCUAUUUAUAUAUUAUAAAAUCUAUAAUUAAAUAUUUGUAUUUAAAUUGUCCGCAACAAAGUGCGGGUACUACACUUGUAAAUACAUGAAACGUGGGCCUUCAGAAUCUGACGUGGCGUUUUCCCGCCUCUUUCUCUUCGAUCUCUCUCUGAUUUUUCCACUGGGAUCCGCGCUCUCUCUCCGAUCCCGCCUCUCUCUCUCUCUCCGAUCUCUCUCCGAUUUCUCCAACGGGAUCCACGCUCUCUUCGACCUCCCAGCGGGAUCCGCGGCGCGAUCUUCGCCGGUAGGGGAUCUAGCGAGAUUUUCUUCCGGCGUUCUCUUUCCUCCUUUCUCCUCUUUUCUUCCCCCAUCUUUCUUUCGAUCUCUCACUGAUCUCCCCGCUGGGAUCCGCGCUCUCUUCGACCUCCCCCUGCCUGGCGAAG